rnacentral:rRNA from 1 species
GCCAGACUCCUACGGGAGGCAGCAGUGAGGAAUAUUGGUCAAUGGCCGGGAGGCUGAACCAGCCAAGUCGCGUGAGGGAAGACGGCCCUACGGGUUGUAAACCUCUUUUGUCAGGGAGCAAGGUGCAGGUCGGGACCUGCUGUGAGAGUACCUGAAGAAAAAGCAUCGGCUAACUCCGUGCCAGCAGCCGCGGUAAUACGGAGGAUGCGAGCGUUAUCCGGAUUUAUUGGGUUUAAAGGGUGCGUAGGCGGACGCUUAAGUCAGCGGUAAAAUUGCGGGGCUCAACCUCGUCGAGCCGUUGAAACUGGGUGCCUUGAGUGGGCGAGAAGUACGCGGAAUGCGUGGUGUAGCGGUGAAAUGCAUAGAUAUUAGGAGGAACACCAGUGGCGAAGGCGGCCUACUGGACGGUGACUGACGCUGAGGCUCGAAAGCGUGGGGAGCAAACAGGAUUAGAUACCCGAGUAAU